GUUGGGCACAGCAAAGAUGGCGCUGGCCUGCCUUCUCUUCCGGCUAGAAAAGGCGCUAGAAAAGGCGCCACCGUGGCAGUAUUGGCGCCAACGUGGCGGUUUCGGUUCCGCAUAUCUCUGAUAUUUCCUCCUCUCGCCCAACACACCCUACCCAGUUACUGACUACGUAACCAAACCCCAUAGGCUCUCUCCCCGCUGACCUCAUUUCCCAUCCCCUAACCAAUAUAAGCUGCAACCCCGCUCAAUAAAGUGAGAUCCUGCUUCGACAGAUCCCCCGAGUCUGGUGUGGUUCCUGAAUGCGCCUGGACUCGCGACACUCGCCAUCCCGCUCAGCCCCAAGGGGAGCUACCGGCUGGCCCGGAUGCUCUCCUCGUGCCUGUCCGCCCGCAAAACCUACCGGAGUCCGACAUCUGCAUAUAGCAACAGUUAGGAAAUCAGAACCCGGACAUCUGAAGAGGAUUCGGAGGAGACCAGAUGUGUGUUUUUCUGUCCCCGUUAACUUUCUGUCCCCAGAACCCACUCAUUUCUCUUCAUACUGCAAGUCCGACUGGAAGUCCGGCUCUUGGAAAACUGUAAAGAAUUUAACAACCCAUUCUACAAAGGAAGACAGCAUCUCAAAGCAGAAACAUAAUUUCUGA
rnacentral:lncRNA from 1 species